CCCUACGCCGCGGCGGCGCCUCUCCGAUGGACGCCUCCGACGAGCUCCGGUCGCUGGAGGCCACGGGGAUCUACCGCCUCGCGGGCUCUCGCGCCGCCUUCGUCGACCCGGUGCGCCUCCUCGGCGAAUCCUACCGGCGCUUCCGCCUCGUCCCGUCGGCGUACUACUCCCGGAGCUUCGGCCCGUCGCGGCAGGGAGGCGAAGCGCAGGCCGAGGGGACGGCGCCGUCUCCCGACCGGAAGAAGCGCAAGCGGAAGCGCCAGACGAAGGCCCGGGAACUCAACGCCGUGGAGCGGAUCGCAGAAGCGCGGCACCAGGAAGCAAGGCCUUUGCUAAUUAGCGCGCAUAAUUCACUCCUCGAUGCGAAAUAUCUACUGGAAUACCUUCCGGGUAUGAUCAAGGGAGAUGAAUGCAGGCCAGAGCUUGAAACUAGUUCUGAGAACAAUUUUGUUGAGCUUGGGGGCUCAUGGCGAGCACCUUUCUACGAGAUGACUAUUUGCUUUCAGAAGCCUCUUGGUCAGGACGAGGCCGGUACCUGUGAUGUCCAAAAGAGAUCCAGUCCAUUGUUUAAUAGAGUAGUCCGUGUUGAAGAAAACGGUGAGGCAGAAGGAGAAUUUCAGGGUAGACUUUAUGUUUUACCAAAAGGAAGUUGCUUCAUGACGACCGACUUCACACAUGUUCGUGAUCUCAUUCCUGAUAAUCCUAAUACAGGGUACAACCUUAUAGUUAUUGACCCACCUUGGGAGAAUGGAUGUGUUCGCCAGAAAGAAGCGUAUCCUACACUUCCCAAUAGAAAUUUGUUGUAUCUUCCAGUUCAAGAACUUGCACAUCCAGCUGGAGCUCUUGUAGUUUUGUGGAUUACAAAUCGGGAGAAACUGCGAAGAUUUGUUGAGGAGGAAUUGCUUCCAUCUUGGGGAGUCAAAGACCCAACGGAGUUUUAUUGGCUGAAGGUGAAGUCGGAUGGUUCACUGAUUGGCGAUCUAGACUUGUUCCAUCACAGACCUUAUGAGUGUCUCCUUCUUGGCUACAUCAAUGUUAAUAGAGAAGCUGAGUCAGGAUCGAAGUUUAAGGUUCUACAAGGCAGCCAAGUAAUUAUGAGUGUUCCGGGUGCGCACUCAAGGAAACCUCCUCUUCAGAAAAUUCUUUCAGAAUAUAUUCCUGGUCCUAAACCUCCAAGGUGCAUAGAGCUUUUCGCAAGAGAAUUGGGUUCCGGGUGGACCUCGUGGGGGAACGAGCCGCUCCAUUUCCAGGAUUCCGCAUACUUCUCAAAGAAGUAAAUUGAUAGACAGGAGCAUGGUAUGCAGAGUUGAACAGUCGCUGUAUCGACGUGGUGAAGAACACCUGCGGCUGGAUUUCGCAUAGCGCUACACUGCAUUUUGGACACUGGUUACCACUUACCACUAGUAGCUACGUAAUUGGCACGGAAUGGCAACUAACGAGGCGCAGUUUUGUCAAAAGUUGGUAGGUUCGGUUUGAACUCUCUAAGCUUGACUCAAGGACGAUCCACAUUACAAUGCCGUUCCCUGCAGAACUGCAUCCUGCUGCUGCUUCUGUUCCCUGCUGCAGUGAUCAAAAGUUGCCACCAAAAACUUGAAUUGAGCUCUAUUGAUCUAACAUGAAUCCUGGUCCAUUCUUGAAGGGAACAUUUGGAUGUAAAUUGUUCAUCCUCUUGGAGCAAAACGAUUCCCUGGUGCUGAAA